GAAACCAAUUGAAUCAACAGAUUCAAGGGCUGCUUUUGUAUUUUCCUUUUUGUUUUCAAUUUGUAUUUAUGUUUUUGUAUGUAUGUUCGGUAAUUGGCAUUUGGAGUUUGCUAGGAUUUGCCACUCUACUGUUAAAGAAGAAACCAAUGGCACUUUUCAUAUUGAGGAUCUACAGUUGAUUCCAUGUGAUUUAUAUGCUGCCACACCCAAACCCAUUGACUUUUCCCCUUUUGGCAAACAGUCAAAAAAUAAUCAUCACUGGGUGGUGCAGAAAAACUGAUGCCCAGACUAAAUCUGAAAGUGCAAAAACUAAUAGUCAGAAUGGCACAAGCACGAGUCAGAAGACCAGUAAUGGAAACAGUGUGAAAGGCCAAGAGGGUGUGUCUGUCACGCAAUGGAAAGACCACAAAAGCAUGCCUGAAGUGCCCGACAUCCCGAGCCGCGUCCGAAACACUCUCCCAAGAACACCAACCAGCUAAGUGACCCUGACCUAUGAUGUUGAGGACAUUUCCAGGGCCCACUCCUCCCUGCCACACCCCUCCAGACCCACCAGACCCCCGUCGCCCCCUCCCAUCAACCCAUCAAAGUGGGACUCGACCUUGUGACGAUUCCAGGACAAUCCAUAAUCUGGACAUCAACCUCUGUGCUUCAAAACCCACCCAGCCUUCACAACAGGAGAGCCCAGACCUCCUGCAAGAGACAGAGAAAGAGAGAGACAGAAAAAAAUAGAGACAGGAAUUUGUGGUUCUUACAUUUACAUGAUUACACUUUGACUUAAUUUAAUGCCACCAAGUUUACUUCUUUACUCUGUAUCCUUGGAUGAUUAUCAUGCAAUUUGGUGAUUUGAGGAUUCCUUUUUGUUUUGUAAAAUUUUGUUUUGUAUUUGAUUUGUUGUUCAAAUAAGCUUCACUGCACCUGGCUCUCAGCACAUGCCCCAGUCUGUAAUUGCCAUAAAACCAGACUAGGUCACAUGACAUAAUGAAUGGACAGCAUUCCGUCUGGGUUGGGAUUGGGAUUGGGACAGGGGUGGUGCUCAGACUAAAAUCCCUGCUCUGUGUCUGGCAGAGACGUGGUAGAGUCAACACACAGGACUAAUCCAAGGACUCACACCCCAGUGUGUCUGGUAUUGCCUAGCACAGUAAAGGCCUACACAUCACUCCAUAUAUGUGGUUGGAUCGCAUUUGGAAUUACAUUUCUGUCUGUUUGAAUGCAAUGAUUUGUUGAUUAAAAACGUGCCAGUUGUUCUUUAAA